GUAGUAUUCCCUCCGUCCCAAAAUUGUUGUCUUACAUUUGUUUAGAUAAGGAUCUUCUAACACUAAAAUGUAACUAGAUACAUCCGUAUUUAGACAAAUUUAAGACAGGAAUUUUGGGUCGGAGGGAGUACAAA
rfam:Triticum aestivum genome assembly, contig: Triticum_aestivum_CS42_TGACv1_scaffold_327860_4BS